rnacentral:rRNA from 1 species
AUACGAAAGGUGCAAGCGUUGUUCGGAUUUACUGGGCGUAAAGAGAGUGUAGGUGGUUUAUUAAGUCGGAUGUGAAAUCCCGGGGCUCAACCUCGGAACUGCAUUCGAUACUGAUAGGCUAGAGUUUGGGAGGGGUAAGCGGAAUUCCGUGUGUAGCAGUGAAAUGCGUAGAUAUACGGAGGAACACCUGAGGCGAAGGCGGCUUACUGGACCAAAUACUGACACUGAGACUCGAAAGCGUGGGUAGCAAACAGGAUUAGAAACCCCGGUAGUCC